ACUUUUUUCAUUUUUAGGUCUUAUGUUUAAUUCUUUGAUCUAUUUCAAGUUAAUUUUUGUAAGUAGUGUAAUAUAGAGGUCCAAUUUCAUUGUUCUGUCUAUGUUUGUCCAGUUUUCUCAGCACCAUUUUGUUGAAGAA